rnacentral:rRNA from 1 species
GAUAACGAAGCGAACCCCUUUGCUAAUACCGCAUAAGAUCUACGGAUGAAAGCAGGGGACCGCAAGGCCUUGCGCGAACGGAGCGGCCGAUGGCAGAUUAGGUAGUUGGUGGGAUAAAAGCUUACCAAGCCGACGAUCUGUAGCUGGUCUGAGAGGACGACCAGCCACACUGGGACUGAGACACGGCCCAGACUCCUACGGGAGGCAGCAGUGGGGAAUUUUGGACAAUGGGCGAAAGCCUGAUCCAGCCAUGCCGCGUGCAGGAUGAAGGCCUUCGGGUUGUAAACUGCUUUUGUACGGAACGAAAAGACUCUGGUUAAUACCUGGGGUCCAUGACGGUACCGUAAGAAUAAGCACCGGCUAACUACGUGCCAGCAGCCGCGGUAAUACGUAGGGUGCAAGCGUUAAUCCGGAAUUACUGGGCGUAAAGCGUGCGCAGGCGGUUAUAUAAGACAGAUGUGAAAUCCCCGGGCUCAACCUGGGAACUGCAUUUGUGACUGUAUGGCUAGAGUACGGCAGAGGGGGAUGGAAUUCCCGCGUGUAGCAGUGAAAUGCGUAGAUAUGCGGAGGAACACCGAUGGCGAAGGCAAUCCCCUGGGCCUGUACUGACGCUCAUGCACGAAAGCGUGGGGAGCAAAACAGGAUUAGAUACCCUGGUAGUCCACGCUCUAAACGAUGUCCAACUGGUUUGUAGGGUCUUCACUGACUC